rnacentral:lncRNA from 1 species
AUGCACAGUAGAAUCUGUCCACUUCGGCAAUUGCUUCAAUUUGAGUACCUGAAGAGUCUCACUGGAGUCUUUGGUACCACCAAUGGUGGAAACACACAUUGCUGCUUUAGAGGGAUAAGUUCAUGGCUGCAGCCCUUGCCUUCUACUCUGCUACAGCUGUUUGGUACUAAUCCACAGCCAUGGUGCUGCACUAAAGAUGGGCAUCCAUCUGUGCUCUCCAGUGAAACGAGGAAUUGGCAAGGUGAAGGCACAGAACAUCAGGAAGGCAUAAGGACACAGCCUUUUACAGCUGAGAAACACAACACCAUGUCAAGGAAGACCAGAGAACUUAGGACUGAUGAUUCGAGUCAUGAAACAUCAGAGGAAUAUCUGAAGAUGCCGCAGGAGGAGGCAGGAGCUUUGGUUCUGCUGGGCAAACAGAGCAGCUGCUGUGGCCCUGUACAAGGACGGGACCUUGCAAAGAAGUUGUGUAAAACAGGUGUGACCCAAAACUGGCUUUGGUUCGGGAUCAGGCACGUGCUUGAGUUCAGGCUGAGCUCUACCUUUGGGAAUGUAGAAAGCAGACACUAAGAGCUUCUGCUGCAUAUCCUUGGGAAUACCACAGAGCAGUAGAGCUCAGGGUAGGUAUAAAGUUCUGUUUUUGUUGAGGGGAGGGGUUUCCUGGAAACUUUACCCACGUUCUUAAAGUGCUGCCACAAGAAAAACAAUUCUUACAGCACACACAAAAAUGUUCUUAUAUUGACUGGCUGAUACAAGAGAUGGAAGGAAGGAGCAGGAAAAAAACCUUGUAAAUUUAAAUACAGGGCAUGAAGAUUUGCCACUCUUCUUCCUGUGCUUCAGUUCGGUGUCCCUCACAUAGACACACACACACAUAAACCUCGAUGCCCCUCUCUCUCUCUCACGCACACACACACACACACACACACACACACACCCCCUCACUCUCACCACACACCCCUCACUCACUCACACACACCUCCUCACUCUCUCUCUCACACACACCCACCCCCUCACACCCUCUCUCACACACACACUCCCUCACACCCCCUCACACCCUCUCUCACAC